UCAUAAAUUUGGGAGAUGAGCCGCACCUGCAGCUUUUUUCAGAGUAAGGUGUCUUCCACAUUUUAAAGGUUUGACAAGCUGGAGACUCAGGUACUCCCAGAUUAUGGAGGCCGGUCUGUUUAGUGAACCUGGCAGCCAAAUCUGAAUCACAGCCAAGGAAGUAUAAAGGCAGGGGAGAGCACAGGUCAGCUCAGCCUGCCGAAGUAAAGCUAACUGGGCUGGAGAGGACUUCCCAGGUGCAAGGCGGCAACCCCAGGUUCAGGUAGGAGUGACAGGGUGAGAACUGAACUGAAGCAGCAGGCUUUUCUGCUCCCUGCAGGAAACCUUCCUGCUGAGACAAGCUCCAGAAGGAACAGGAAUCCCACCUAGAGGUGUAAAUACACAAAGAGAGUGAGAGAGAAAGCACUGAGACAUGUCCUGCAGGUAGAUGAAGCAGACACAGAGCCAAGAGUGGUUUCAAGUACCACAAAUGCUGCCGAUGCCCCUGAGUGGGGUGCCCUUUGGUCCCUGUCACAGCAGCUGGAAUCUGAGCAAUGCAGGUUUGACAGAAGCAAUCUCAGGCAUUUAGGUUUGUUUUCUGGCUUAUACUUUGCUUUAUAUGUUUUGUAUUUGUGGAAUUAUGCUGGCCUGUGGAAAAAGAAGUCUGAGUCCAACUAGACAUGCUGAAUUAAUAAUGAUUAGUCCUCAGCUUCUCAUCUGAGUGUGGUUUACUGUGAAAAUUAAGCCCUCAAGAAAGGUUACUUUGGGAGGUUUCCAGGGAAGGAAAGCAGCUGAGCUAACAAAAAAUACCCUGAGAGUCAAUAUAGUGGCACAGGUGUGGGUGUGUCAAAAAAAUCCAGAUUAAUGAACACUUAGGGCAAAUCAAGUUAGUUGAAGUUAACUGCUCAAGGUAAAGGAGACCUUGACAAGUUUAACUUCUAUGCUAUGUCUUCACAACCAAGCUAUGAAUCCCAUCUUGCUGGAUCUUACUGUGUACCAUAUCAGAGAUGUUGGCCUUUCCCAUCUCUCCACCCAGCUAAAUUCUUCCAUUGACUGAUUUUGCUUCCUCUUCUCUGUUUUCUACAAAGAGGACCCGUGACAAUGCCCUGCAGCAGACAGCUGGGCCUUGCUCAGUCAUCUUGCACUGGUGAAGAAUAAAGUGAGAAACUGCCAUGAGGUGACAAAACCCAAAAAGCCAGUGUGGGACAGAGAUACCAAAGAGAGGAUGUACAGAAAGAGCUGUAUUAUCAAUGAUACUACAACGCACUCCAGUCAGUACAGCAACUAAACCCAACAUUUAAUGUUAGAAUGGGACCAACAUGCUUCAACUGGUCUGCUGGCCAUUUCAACUGUCUUCUAGUUUUGAUCUGGUAAAGUAAAUUAUCUUCAAAUAUGUUCAUGUCUUCACUUGUUAAAUUACUUUUACACAUAGUCUAGAAAACAAAGAUGAGUCCAUGGAGACUUUUGUUCUUCAGUCUUUUUGCCCUUUGCUUCACUCUUCUCUGCCAACUGCUAGUUUUUCCUUUACUUUAAAAGACUAAGCAGAAGGUUCCAAUUUCUCUAUAAAAUGUUUCUUUGUGUUUAGCUUAUUGGAAGAAAGUGACAUUUCUGCAGGUUUUUUAGUUUAUGAUGACCUUUCCAAAUUGUAAAAUGUCUGUGUCUAAACCAUGAUGAAGUUUUGUACUUCUACAAUUUUGUGCUUGUUUUGACUUCCUUACUUUUUACCGAAGUCUAAUAGUAAUUUUUCAUCCUUUGGUUCUGUCAUUUUGGGUAAUAUGCAUAUCCCUGUAAGUUUGCCAGUGAUUUUCCACGCUGCAGUGGUGUUACUCUGUAGCUGAACAACAUCAAAUAUAGAAUGAUAUUGAAUGAGUUGGGUUUUGUGAGCCUGUGCUUCACUAUAUAGAUUUUGCAUCUAUUAGUAUUUUAUCACAGAUGCCCAGAAAACUCUCAGAAAGUGUCCUGAGCUGAAACCUGAAGGUUUUCACAAGAACCAGGAAUUCCUGUACUCACUGCCUUGACUUUGAUCAAUUGCUAAUGUAACUGGGAACUUGAGGUCCAAAAGUGCUUGAUCAUCAGUACUAAAGUCACUGUAUUUCCACAAGCCAACAUUUCUGGAAAGCUAUUACAGCAGUUCACAUUUUUCAAAGGUACACAAAGUAAGUCUUGUAGAAGUACAGAUCCAUAUCAAUGUACUAUUUCUGUCUUCUUGAAACUGCAGUGAUCCUUUCUAGCAUCACAGUUCGGGCACACAAUCUGGAUUCAUUAUUUGUGAAGCCUCUUCUUCAGUUUCUCUCCAAAACUGUCCAGUCUUUCCAGGUUCCAUGGAAAAUCUGAUGUAGCUUGAAAUAACAUUCAUAUUCUCCUGGUCUCAAUGGUGACUGGGGUCCCAAGAGCACAUUCUUUAUGAAACCUAGACUCUAGACUCACUAGAGGCUCCUGUGACUGUCUUUAUGUUUUUCCCUCUAUCCCUCCAAACACAGCUUCUCUGAAAAAGACUUUACCCUCAGCCAAGCUUUGCCACAAAUCUUUGGUCUUUGGCCCACUGCCCUGCUCUCUACAUCCUCCUCUCUGUGUUGCUGGAUGUAUGUAAACAUACAUUUUACUAUUAUUUCUAUCAAAAUAAUUAUCACAAAUCGACCUUUGCAAUUCAGAUCCCAUUUUGUUCCAAGCAACCCUUACCCUAUAACUUUAUGAGGAAGACUAGCCUUGUUCAUCCUUAAUCCAGCUACAGCAGGAUGAUUAGUGCUGUCCUAAUCUCAUUCUCCUCUUUCCAAUUUCAGUUGAGGUGAGAACACACUCUUCUCCUAAUUCAGACCUACAUCCCUUGUAAGGUCUCCUGCUCUGAAUUCUCCUUAUGUCCUCAAAUCCAACUUCUGACUCACGCCUUGCUGAGUUUUUUCUGUGUAACAUAUCAAAGAUAUGAACUUUCUGAUCCAUCACCUCAGCCAAACUAUUCCACCUAGGUAUUGUCAUGCUUCCUUGUCUCUGAUUCUGAAAAAAGCAGUAUUGCACCUUUCAUGUCCAUUCAGAGUGCUUCUGGAAAGGCAUUUUCUUUGUGAGUGAUUGUCCUUGCUGUGUCACUUCAAGCUUUGCAUCUUCCCAAUCUUUCCUGACAUGCCUUCCCCCUCUCCUAGCAUUUCUGAUUCAUCACUAAGACACCAGCUCCUCCUACACCCAGUUGGCCCAUAAUAUCAGCCCCCAGCACCUAUUUAUUAAUGUUUCAAGUACUUCCAUGCUUUCUUCUGUGCUUCCCUAAGGCAUGAAAGGACUUGCACAUCAAAAAGAAAUUUGGGAACCAUGAAAGUGUAUUAGACAACAGCAGAAAAUUUGCAGCUAUGAAAACUGAACUUACUCAUGGCAACUUCUCUACAGAGACACAAAAUGGGCAUAAAUAUCAGAUUGUAAAUGAAAAUGUGAUAUCUUUGAGUGUGUAUUGGAAUCAGCGGCAGUAAUGCCAUUCUUUGGCUUAAAAGUGAAAAUAAGUUUUCCAGGGGUAGUCAGAAAAAAAGCCAACAGCUGCACAGCUUCAAAACUUUGAAACCAAAUAGUUGCCUGUAGUGUGCACUGGGAAGACCAUCCCUGAAUUAUUGCAGCUUAUUAAAUGCAUGGAAGAGCUUGCAUAACAAAUAUAUCACCUGCUUUGUGGUGUGGUUUUGCAUAUGGUGGGAUUUGAUGGCUGAGCUUGUCCCUGGAAAUAAAAACCAAGCUGAUCAUUCAGAUGGACACAAAUCUCACACAUUUGAUGUUCGACAUCCUAACACAAUCUGCUUUAAAAGAAAAACAGGAUUUAUGCCCCAUUUGUGCAAUCCUAAAAAUAGGAUUGUUAAGACAUCUUUACGAUAAUAGAGAUGAGAAAUUUCUAAGUAAAUAAAUUAUAGCUUCUCGGUGCCAGAAGUUUAUUACAGAAAUGAGUCAAGAUAAAGAUUUUCAACAUAAUAAAAAACAAGUCAGAGUCCUCUUUGAAACAUAAUUAGAAAAAGCUGUCACCCAUGGGCACAAGCAUACUGAGAUGGACAACAUUUAACAGUGGCAGAUCAAUCGAUGUUUGAAAGGGUCAUGUUUUUCUUAAAAUUCCAUCCCUAGUCUGGUGAGCGCUACAGAAGAGUGUGAAAAUCAAGUUCAUAUUUCAUAGUGAAGCGUUCUUCCAUUCUGGAGAGGGCAGAUUAAAAUUUGGCUGGAAAAGAGAGAGAUUCACUCCCUUGCAGCUGUGUUUUGGAAUAUCUGCAUGUCCCCUGUUCCUCUAUGCAGAUCUUCGUGCCUGUCUCAAUGAGCCUCCCUGCAGGCAUAUGGGCCCAACUGCACUGAUUAUUUUGCAGAACUGGGGGUUAGAAAUUACAAAGCCACAUGCUUUAUAAUUGCAAAGUCACUAACUUAUCCCAGUCUCGUUCAACGAUCUUCUCCUUCCCAGCAGGGCCCAUCUGUCACCAUUUCACUAACUCCAUGUUUUAAUGAGAUCCAAUUUCACUCUUUGCUUUCAAGUGUUUUUAUUCUAUAUCUGUACAUUGAAAGAAAAAAAAAGUUUUCUAUUAAAAGAAAGUCAGUCAUAAAUAUGUGGGAAACUGAAGGGCCCCUGCAUAUAUUGCCAUCUAACAUUUUUUCAUUGUAUUAUUGAUAGUUUUGCACUAUUUUCAUUCAAUACCAAAAGAGCAAUUAAAAGAUGUUUCACGUUAGAAAGAGAAAAAACAUGAAGGAAAGGUGGACAUAGAAUAAAAAAAGAAAGGUGGACAUAGAAUAAAAAAAGAAUAAACUGCCUUAGAACUACAACAAGCUGAUAAGCAAAUCCUUUGGCAAGCUUAGUCUUUGGGUAAAAUGUUCUCAUUCAGCACAUGCUACUGAAUGAGCCUUGGACCAUGAACAGUCAGUGAAGAAUUCUGCUGUUACAAGAGAGUAUACCACUUGGUGUAAAAAUAACAGCAUCAGCUCUCACAUUGUUACCUCCCUUCUUUAGCCCAGCCACAGAUCUGGAGGGAAGAAAGGUUCUACACAAAUUGCAGCUCUUCCAGGCUUUACCUAUAUUACCUUUAUACCUGAGAUCUCCUAGGCUGACUCAAGCCUGAGGGUGUCGAGACAAUUUGACCAGAUGCAGUAGCUGUCAGUUCACAGGAUACACUGUGAAGUUCAUGUACCAAUGCUCCUUUCUUCCAAAUGAACCAAAAAAGCCAGAUCAGGAGCACCAUCAUCAGCUACAGUGGGAAAAAAACAUGACUUUGUUUCAUGGAUGCAAUGCUCAACCAAUAAAUGUCUGUCAGUCUGUUUCAUUUAUCCAGCCUGCUGCGGAGCGAUGUGCAGCUGGGAAAGCUGCUGUGCUGUGUCCCAAGCAUUGUGCUCAUCCUUGCUACCCUGUGAAGCCAUCAGGUAUGCAGCAACUGUGUGCAACAGUGUGAGGUGUGUGUUUGAAACCACCCUGAUUUCCAGAUACACAGGCCCCGCCAGCUGGGACAACUAUGCAGGAGACUUGCAGAUACUUGGAUCUACUAGAUUUCUACACUUAAAAAUUCUCCUGUUCCAGUAAGUUUGAAAUUCUGGAUACCAAACCAGAGCUUCUCUGGUGAAAUGUAGGCCUGGGACAACGGGAGAAGAAAAAAGGUGCUUCUGUGCCUGCUUCUACUGGUUGUGAUGACCAGUGUUGCCACUGUUGAUGAAAAUGCCCAGAGACAGGAGACUGGGAAAUUCUGCUCUACUGUAUCUGUGAUUAUAUACCUUCACCAUCAUUAUACAUUCUCUUAUUUCCCCUUCCAGAAACACCCACAUGUGAGCACACACUCUGAAAACUAAGAACAUGGAGCUGUCUUCCCCUCAGGAAGAAUGAGACCAACUUUAUCCCUUCUCUCAAGCAUGAAUAAAAAUAUGCUGAUCUUACCUGAAGAUCUUCAGAGCUUUACAUUUAGUCCUUUCAUGCCUCAGAAAUCCUAUCCAGCCUCCCUGUAAAUGCUGCAAUGGAAGUUUAUGUUCCAUCCAAUAGUUAAAUAUCUGCUGACAGGUUAUUGUGUUGUAUCAUUGCUAGACAUUCACAUACUCCUUCAGGGACAGCGGCCGAGUCAAAAGCUAGAAUAAAAGAUAGCAGCAUGAAUGCUGUGCUUACUGUUUGUUAGGUUUUGUUACCUAAAAUUCAUAUAUAAUAGGAUUUCAAUGCAUUUGAGUCCUUAAAAUGGAAAUCUCAAGUCCCAUUAAAUAUAGAAGUAAACAUCAAGGUAGUGGAAGAUGUUGCCAGAUCCUGCACUUGAGUCACAACAACCUCAUGUAACACUACAGUCUUGGGAAAGAGAGGCUGGAAAGCUGCCUGGCAGAGAAGGAUCUGGAGGUUCUGGUCAACUGAACAUGAGCCAGCUGUGCCCAGGUAGCCAAGAAGGCCAAUGGCACCUGGCCUGUGUCAGCAAUGGUGUGGCCAGCAGGACCAGGACAGUGAUUGUCCCCCUGUACUCAGCACUGGUGAGGCCACACCCGGAAUCCUGUGUUCGUUUUGGUUCCCUCAGUGCAAGAAAGACAUUGAGGUGUGGGAGUGAGGCCAGAGAAGGGCAACAAGGCUGGUGAAGGGUCUGGAGCACAAGUCCGGUGAGGAAGAGCUGAGGGAGCUGGGAGUAUUUAGCCUGGAGAAAAGGAGGCUCAGGGGGCACAUUAUCACUCUCAACAACACACUGAAAGAAGGCUGCAGCCAGGUGGAAGUUGGUCCCAUCUCCCAAGUAACAAGCAACAGGACAAGAGAAAAUGGCCUAAAGUUGUUGGGAGGUUUAGACUGGAUAUUAGGUAAUAUUUCUUUCAUAGAAUGGGUGACCAGGCAUUGGAAGAGGAAGGAAGUAUCUUUUAAAUACUUCCAGGGAAGAAGCUGAGUCACUAUCCCUGGAAUUAUUUAAAAGACACGUAGAUGUGGCACAUAGGACACUUUUAGUUUAAUGCUGGACUUGAGAAUGUCAGGUUUGUGGUUGGACUUGAUGAUCUUAAGGGUCUUUCCCAACCUAACUGAUUUUAUAACUUUGAGAUGUUAGAUGAAAAUCACUGACCUUUUUUUUUUACAGAAAAAUCAUAAUAAAAGCAGAGUUUCAACCUC